UAGGGAAUCUUCGGCAAUGGACGAAAGCCUGACCGAGCAACGCCGCGUGAGUGAAGAAGGUUUUCGGAUCGUAAAACUCUGUUGUUAGAGAAGAACAAGGACGUUAGUAACUGAACGUCCCCUGACGGUAUCUAACCAGAAAGCCACGGCUAACUACGUGCCAGCAGCCGCGGUAAUACGUAGGUGGCAAGCGUUGUCCGGAUUUAUUGGUCGUAAAGCGAGCGCAGGCGGUUGCUUAAGUCUGAUGUGAAAGCCCCCGGCUCAACCGGGGAGUGUCAUUGGAAACUGGGAGACUGGAGUGCAGAAGAGGAGAGUGGAAUUCCAUGUGUAGAGGUGAAAUGCGUAGAUAUAUGGAGGAACACCAGUGGCGAAGGCGGCUCUCUGGUCUGUAACUGACGCUGAGGCUCGAAAGCGUGGGGAGCAAACAGG
rnacentral:rRNA from 1 species